rnacentral:tRNA from 1 species
GAGGUGUUGGGCAGCUUCGGGGAUGGGUUUGCUAAACCGUUAUAGGGGCUCAAACCCCUAUCGUGGGUUCGAAUCCCAUCCCCUCCGCCA